UAGCGACUAAAAGCUUUGAUGAAGUCUUUUGCAAUAUUAACCUAGGCAUCAUUUCUGUAAACAGGGCUCUUAUACCGGCUGGCUCACAGCCAGAAAUGAGGAAAAAAAAAAAAGGCUGGGAGCAGAGGGGGGCCCCGUGGGAAGGGGCUCUGAGAUGCAAAUCACGGUGGUGGUGCUCAGCACACUUUAAUCCUUUGUCCACUUUAGCUGGGCGCAGAUAAUGCAACUAAUUCAAGUGCUUGUCUCUCUGGUGUGAAUUAGCUGGAUGACAGCCUAAAACCUCUCCCCGGCAACAGCAAACCUGCAAAAAAAGGCAGAAGCACAGCUCCUCUCUGUUCCCAGCUGCCCUGUCCAACUCUUGAGUUUGUCCAGCAGAUUCCUGGCUCCCCUCACAUCUCCCUGGGUGCCUGCUCACUGGGGAGGACUCUCCAGUGGGGCUGCAGACCCCAUGGCUUUCGUCCACCUUCUGGCUGCAGGACACCUUUUCCCCCGGGCAGCCCAACCUGCACAGUUGCUGCAAGGACCCUGGAGAUGUGUUGCCAAGUGCCACAGGACCUCCUCGCUGCCUUCUGCCUGCACAAAGUAUCUGAACUACCAGUGUCACAGCUCAGCAGCUCCAGGAGAUGCCUCACACGAAGCACUUGUGCAGACAGGGCUGGUACACCCAGACAGAAAAGGAGGGCUUAGUUUUUUCUUCACUGCAAUAAUAAGAACCAAAAGCUG